rnacentral:rRNA from 1 species
GACGAACGCUGGCGGCGUGCUUAACACAUGCAAGUCGAACGAAGUGGCGAACGGGUGAGUAACGCGUAAUCAACCUGCCCUUCAGAGGGGGACAACAGUUGGCAACGACUGCUAAUACCGCAUCCUGCCGGAGGUGAUUGCGUCUGAUUAGCUAGUGGGAGGGGUAACGGCCCACCAAGGCGAUGAUCAGUAGUCGGUCUGGGAGGAGGAAGGGGAACAGUGGGACUGGGACACGGCCCAGACUCCUACGGGAGGCAGCAGUGGGGAAUCGUGCGCAAUGGACGAAAGUCUGACGGAGCAACGCCGCGUGAGUGAUGACGGCCUUCGGGUUGUAAAGCUCUGUUAAUCGGGACGCGGUACCGGAAUAGAAAGCCACGGCUAACUACGUGCCAGCAGCCGCGGUAAUAC